CAUCAUGUGAAAAUCAAAAGAAAUCAGCCAAGACCUCAAGACCUACAAAAAAUUGUAGACCUCCACAAGUCUGGUUCCUCCUUGGAUGCAAUUUCCAAACGCCUGAUGGUACCACGUUCACCUGUACAAACAAUAGUACGUUCAAUCCAGCUGAACUCUCCUUCGCCUUCUUGCUUGGAAUGGACUACAUCUAGGUGAUGGCACCAGUUCAUCAGAUGAGGACUUCUUCUUUGCCAUGGAUACAUCUCAAACACAAGAAAGCGCCAAACAGCUGGACGGAUACCUAACCUGUUCAGCUGAUCAUAUGGCGUUGCUCAAGUCCUUCCCGGCAGUCUAUAAGCUGUCUUUGAGGUUAAACACACCUUUACCUGCAUCAGCUGCCUGUGAAAGUCUGUUCAACAUUGCAGGAUUUGUUUUCAGCCCCAGGAGAGCAAGGCUGGACUCCAUAAACUUUGAAAACCAGCUUUUACUGAAGAUGAACCGUAAAUUCCUCAACUUCAAGUAAUGACAGCUUAAUGCGAACAAGCCCAAGGACACGGAUGCCUUAUGCAUUUUGUUAAUUUGUUUAAAAUUCACAGGUUAUAGGUGUCCUUGUUACAAUGGCAUGACCUGACACACUGAUUUCUAAUAGAGUUCCAUUAGUGAUGAUGUCGUCAUAUUCCUACAGUGAGGUAUGUACUUUUGAUGAUCUCAAAUUAUACUUUUUUUAUGUUUAGGGUUCUAUUAUAGGAUGUUUUUUCUAAAGCAAAGUGAUUAAGUGCGUAUGUUUACUGGCUAUAUUCCUUCAUUAUUAAGGCAUAAUUAUAUUUUGUCUGUAAGAUGUAUUUUGAAAUGUUGCCUAUUUGAGAAUCCACUUUUUAAAUCUUCUUGCAUCCGUAGGUCUGGCUGUUUUUGCUUUUUGGAUUUAUGGCUCUCACGUUUCUUACUUUUGAUACUGAAGUACACCCACCACUGCCUAAUAUAAGGAAUUUAAUGUAACUUUUACUCAAGUAUGAUUGAGUACUUUACACCACUGUACCCUAAGUACAUUUAAAACCAGAUACUUGUACUUAAGUAGUAUUUUAAUUGGUGACUUUCACUUUAGUAAUUUUCUAUUAAGGUAUCUUUACUUUUCCUCAAGUAUGACAAUUGAGUACUUUUUCCACCACUGGCUAUCAUACACAUCCAACCAUGACGGUAGCCUUGACUGCCAGAUGAGUCUUUAGUUAAAUGGUGUCUCUAAACAAGGCUAAUCUUGUAGAUCCUGACAAAUCUGCCUCUAAAUAUUGCAUAGCUGUAAAAUGUAGUGAGCAAAA